rnacentral:misc_RNA from 1 species
CUGAGUUUACGCUCUAUAACCCUUUGUGAACAUACCUAACCGUUGCUUCGGCGGGCGGGAGGUCCGCCUCCCCCCCGGCCCCGCUCGCGGGGCGCCCGCCGGAGGAAAAACCCAACUCUUAUUUUAACGACGUCUCUUCUGAGUGGCACAAGCAAAUAAUCAA